GCCUGAGUUUAUGUCACCGUUCUGUGCAGGAUCACUAGAAUGUCUACUGUGGCCAUUGGAAGAAGAUCUUCUGAUGUCAGCCCGACCAUUAGCAGCAGCAUCAAAUGCAGAUCUCCAUUCAUCUCCAGGUGAUCCGCUAGUUUUGGGACUACUUUCUGCAGCACUAUCAGACCAACCAGCAGCAGCUGCUCGACUAUCAUGAAUGCUGAGCUGGCGCGUAAGUUUUGAAAGGAGAGAGGAUUGUUUUUGAUAACGUUCUCUCCUCCGUCUUACAUUCUGAUCCUCCUGAAGAAGCUCCUCAAUCCUGGCUGAGCUCUGGGCACUGAUCGAGCUAUAUAAUUGAUUUAGCAUAUCUUCCUUG
rnacentral:misc_RNA from 1 species